rnacentral:rRNA from 1 species
GAUGAACGCUGGCGGCGUGCCUAAUACAUGCAAGUCGAGCGAACGGACGCGAAGCUUGCUUCUCUGAUGUUAGCCGCGGACGGGUGAGUAACACGUGGAUAACCUACCUAUAAGACUGGGAUAACUUCGGGAAACCGUAGCUAAUACCGGAUAAUAUUUUGAACCGCAUGGUUCAAAAGUGAAAGACGGUCUUGCUGUCACUUCUAGAUGGAUCCGCGCUGCAUUAGCUAGUUGGUAAGGUAACGGCUUACCAAGGCAACGAUGCAUAGCCGACCUGAGAGGGUGAUCGGCCACACGGGAACUGAGACACGGACCAGACUCCUACGGGAGGCAGCAGUAGGCAAUCUGACGCAAUGGGCGGAAGCCUGGCGGAGCAACGCCGCGUGAGUUAUGACGGUCUUCGGAUCGUAAAGAUCUGUUAUGAGGGAAGAACAGAUGUGUAAGUAAAUGUGCACAUCGUGACGGUACCUAAUCAGAAAGCAACGGCUAACUACGUG